rnacentral:rRNA from 1 species
ACUCUCCGUAGCGGAUAUCUAAGCUCACCGCGUCGAUGAAGAGCGUGGCGAAAUCACGAUGCGGGUGUGAGUGCAGAAUCCGUGAACCAUCGAGUCUUUGGGCGCAAGUUAGCCCCAAACCUUCGGCGAAGACGCGUCUGCACAGAGUGUCUAAAUCGUCGUCCUCCAUCCUCGAGAGGAUGCUCGGACGGAAGCUGGUCUCCAUGUGUUACCGCCUGUGGUUGGCCAAAAUCGAACUAAGGAUGCCGGGCGUCUUGACAUCUUGGUGGUGAAUUCAAUUCUCGUCAAAUAAAUCCAGUCGUUUGGUCCGAAAGCUCUUAUUAACCCAAAGUCCUCAGCGACCCCAGGUCAGGUAGGAUCACCCGCUGAGUUUAAGCAUAUCAAUGGCGGAAAAAAACUAACAAGGAUUCCCUUAAUGCUGGCGAACGGAAAACCCGGCAAGAAAAUCGGGCGUCGCCGUUGAAUUGUAGUCUGGGCGUCCUCAGCGGCGGACCCAGACCCAAGUUCCCUGGAAAGGGGCGCGAGAGGUAGAGAGCCGUCGUGCCGGACCACUGUCGCACCUGGCGCUGUCUCUGAAAUUAGGUUGUUUGGGAAUGCAGCCCCAAUCAGAUAAAUUCGAUCGAAAUUAAAUAUAGAGAGAGGCCAGAUGGCGAACAAAUACCCAGCGGGUAAAGAUGAAAAGGACUUUGAAAAGAAAUUGAAAGAGUUAGAAAUUGUCCGAGGAGCGGAUGGGGGCGGCGAUCGUCCGGUCGGAUCAGGAGCAGACAAUCGGUCCGCCGGUCGGUCAGGCGUGGGCCGGCCGGAUUAAGGUAGUGACCUAAGCCGGGCUUUAUUCGCCCGUGGAGGCGAUCGCUGCCUGUCGAUGAUCUUACAACCUGCGCCUCGGCGAUGCCUCACAUCUCGUGCGGACUUUCAGUGACUGUGGGCUCCCCCAUUCGACCCGUCUUAUGAAACGGACCAAAGAGUCUGACAUGUGUGCGAAAUUCGGCGGGUGGAAGUAAACCCGGUAAGGCAUAAAACUGAUUGGCUGGAUCCCUCCGGGUACCCUGACCGACCACCUUGAUUUUACGAAGGGUUGGUGUGAGCAUGCACUGUGGGACCGAAAGAUGGUGAACUAUGCCUGGCGGGCAACCGGCUUGAGAGGAAACUCUAGUGGAAGCCCAUGAGCGUCUGGCGUCGCUGUCGUUCGUCGACUUGGGUAUAGAGGCGAAAGACUAAUCCCGAACCAUCUAGUAGCUGGUUCCCUCAGAAGUUUCCCUCGGGAUAUUUGGAGCUCGGAAAGCGAGUUCUGUCGAGGGUAAAACCAAUGAUUAGAGGCAUGUCGGGGCGCGGCGUCCUCGACUAUUCUCAAACUUUAAAUAGGUAGGGCGGGGUGGCUGCUUUGUUAACCAUCCCGCGGAAUCCGAGAGCCAGUGGGCCAUUUUUGAGUAAGCGAAGCGGCGUCUUUGGGAUGGUGCGGAAGCCCGGAUUCUGGUUGCCCAACUGCAGCUAACCUAGAACCCACAAAGGGUGUUGGUCCGAUUAAGACAGCAGGGCGGUGGUCAUGGAAGUGAAAUCGUAAAGGGUGUAACAACUCACUGCCGAAUCAACUAGCCCGAAAAUGGAUGGCUGAAGCCUGGCCCUACUCCGGCCGUCCGAGGCAAGAGCCAGGCCUCGAUGAGUAGGAGAGCGGCGGUCGCUGCAAAACCUAGAAGCGAGCCCGGCGGAAGCGACGUCGGUCUGAAUCUUGGUGGUAAUAGCAAAUAUUCAAAUGAGAACUUUGAAGGCCGAAGGGGAAAGGUUCCAUGUGGCGGCACUUUGCACAUGGGUUGGUCGAUCCAAGAGUCGAAACCGUCUGAUGCUUAUCGCGAACGAAAGGGAUCGGUUAAAAUUCGGACCGGGGCGUGGCGGUUGUGACAGCGUUAGAGUCCGGAGGCGUCGGCGAAUUCCAGAAGAGUUAUCUUUCUGUUUAACAGCCUGCCCACCCUGAAGCGGCGGCUCAGCCGGAGGUAAAGAUCCAGCGGCUGGAAGAGCACCACGUCGCGUGGUGUCAGUGCAUUCCGGCCCCUUGAAAAUCGGGGGGCCAAGUGCCGCUCCGCCCGUGCGUACUCAUAACGCAUCAGUCUCGAGGUGAACAGCCUCUGGUCGAUGGAACAAUGUAAGUGAGGAAGUGGCCAAAAAUGGAUCCGUAACCCGGAAAAGGAUUGGCUCGAGGGCUGGAAGCAGGGGUCCCAGUUCGAACCGAUGCGACUAUUGGCGGGCUGCUUGAGCGCUAGCGUGGCGAAGGCGGACCAUAAAUGAGGCGGACUGGGAAGCAUUUCAGGAGCUUUCCCGGGCGUGAACGAGCCAACUCCAAACUGAGUGAGGACAAGGGAAUCAUUUGUUUAAUUAAAACAAAGCAUUCUGCGAUGGUCAUACGGAUGAUAACGCCAAUAUGAUUUCUGCGGUUACUCUGAAUGUCAAAGGUGAAGAAAUUCAUUAAGCCCAGCGGAAUUAAGCGGAGGAAGUAACUAUGACUCUCUAAGGUAGCCAAUGCCUGCGUCAUCUAAUUGGUGGCAGCAUGAAUGGAUUAAAGAUUCCCACUGUGUCUACUAUCCCGUGAAACCACAGCCGAGGGCGGGCUUGGCAGAAUCAGCGGGAAGAGCCCUGUUGAGCUUGACUCUGAAGAUCGACUUUGUGAAAUGACUUGAGGUGUAGAAUGAGUCCGGCUAAAACAGUGAAAUACCACUACUUUUAGCGUUAUUUUACUUAUAAGUAGAAUGGGGCGGGGUAACAACCCCUUCUUUUAGACCAAUUCAAGCAGAUUGAGGUCGAUCCGGUGGAAGACAUUGUCAGGAGGGGAGUUUGGCUGAAACGGCACAUCUGUUAAAGAUAAGCGCGCGGGUCCUAAGAUGAGCUCGGCGAGCGAGAAAUCUCGUGUGGAACAAAAGGGUAAAAGCUCGUUUGAUUCUGAUUUUCAGUCACGAAUCUCGAACCCGUGGCGGUAGCCUAUCAGUCCUUUAAGAUCUUGAAUUUAAAGCUAGGAGGGUGUCAGAAAAAGUUACCACUGGGAUAAGCUGGCUUGCUAGCGUUCUAUAGCGUUCACGUUAGCACGGUCGCCGAUGCUGGCUCUUCCCUAUCAUUGUAUGAAGCAAUUCACCAAGUGUUGGAUUGUUCACCCUGAAUAGGAGCGUGGUAAGGUUUAAGCAGGUAAAUGAGACAGGUUAGUUUACCCUCGAUGCCAGCGUCGCAUAAUAAAAUUCAACCCUAGUACAGAGGAACCGUUGAUUAGCACAAUUGGUCAUCGGCGAGGGUUGAAAAAACCAGUCAGCAUGAAUACCGUGCAGCUGGAUUAUGACUGAAGCAUACAAGUCAGAAUCAGACUAGAAAGCGACGCAUGUCGCCGCGCUUCGAUUACGUCCCUCGAGGUAGAACUUAAUCCCAAAGGUAAGUGUCGUUGGCUAAGUCGAUUCGGAAAGCGCCGUUGGACACCCUUAAUUAUAAUUACCACGGUGGUGGGUGAAUCCGCUGCGAGACGACUUAAAUCUCUGUGGGGUGUUGUAAGUGGCGGUAGCCUUGCUGCCACGAUCCGCUAAUUCAGCCCUUUAAUCGCUAAGAUUAGGCCUCCCCUUUCU